GUAGGGUGCGAGCGUUAAUCGGAAUUACUGGGCGUAAAGUGUGCGCAGGCGGCCGCGCAAGUCGAGUGUGAAAUCCCCGAGCUUAACUUGGGAAUUGCGCUCGAAACUACGUGGCUGGAGUGUGGCAGAGGAAGGUGGAAUUCCACGUGUAGCGGUGAAAUGCGUAGAGAUGUGGAGGAACACCAAUGGCGAAGGCAGCCUUCUGGGCCAACACUGACGCUCAUGCACGAAAGCGUGGGGAGCAAACAGGAUUAGAUACCCUGGUAGUCCACGCCCUAAACGAUGACGACUAGUUGUUGGAGGAGUUAAAUCCUUUAGUAACGCAGCUAACGCGCGAAGUCGUCCGCCUGGGGAGUACGGUCGCAAGAUUA
rnacentral:rRNA from 1 species